GAUGAACGCUGGCGGCGUGCCUAAUACAUGCAAGUCGAGCGAACAGACGAGGAGCUUGCUCCUCUGACGUUAGCGGCGGACGGGUGAGUAACACGUGGAUAACCUACCUAUAAGACUGGGAUAACUUCGGGAAACCGGAGCUAAUACCGGAUAAUAUAUUGAACCGCAUGGUUCAAUAGUGAAAGACGGUUUUGCUGUCACUUAUAGAUGGAUCCGCGCCGCAUUAGCUAGUUGGUAAGGUAACGGCUUACCAAGGCAACGAUGCGUAGCCGACCUGAGAGGGUGAUCGCCCCACUGGAAAGGGAGAAAGGGCCCGACCCCCAAGGGGGGGAAGCGGGGGGGAAUCUUCCGAAAGGGGGAAAGCCCUGACGGGGCAACGCCGGGGGAGGAAGAAGGGUCUUGGGUUCGUAAACCCCUUUUAUUGGGGAAAAAAAAAUGUGUAAAUAACCUUGCAGGUUUUAACGGAACCAAAGAAGAAAGCCCCGCCUAACUACGG
rnacentral:rRNA from 1 species